GAGCUGAGUGUACGUGUUUCUCCUCUGUCCUGCGUGUGGCAGGAGGGGGGCGAGCACCUACACGAGACCGGUGCCUGAAUCUGA
rnacentral:snoRNA from 1 species